rnacentral:lncRNA from 1 species
UCCAGCUAUAGUUGGCAUAAAACGACAUUUCAAUACUAAACCAAAAGGCAAUGGUAAGAAGUAUAUUCAUACAGGUAAUGUAGCAACCUUUGCUCAUCUCCAACGUGUAUGUCAACUUCUCUCUUUCGCAGUGUUCUACUUCUUUUUAGUUUCUCCAUAUUUGUAUAAAUACGAUAUUUACACCUGGUAUCGUAUACCUAAGAAACUCGUGAAGUAGACGUAAGCCAUACAAUAUUCCUUCCAAUGACCUUUCAUUCUAUAAUGAAACCAAGGGUCAUUAGAUUUGGUAUUUGUCCUUUUGCUUAUACUGUCUUAACCAUAUUGGGUGCUUUCACAAAGCCCCUUUAGGCUUCCUCUUAAUAUCUUUAAAGGAAUCAAUGGUUUGCCCACUACCAACUUCGAUAAAGGGGUUAACAGUCCUAAGUAUGUUAAGCAACUCAAUAUUUUUGCAUUCGAACUUAUUCACGUUAAAUUCAUAAUUAGUUGUGAAUAGCUUCAACUGACAGAGAUUACAGGACCAAGUCACUACUUAGUUCAUGGUUUAUGAUUGAAUACAGUUGAGACAUUUCUCAACGUCAAUCGUCUUCAGUGUCUAAGCAUCGAUUGAAGAUUACUCUGUCAUUUUGCACCGGUAUAGUUGUUUGGAAGUCUCAUAUCCUUCCACACAUGAUUAUUAUUAUGUGUUAACAUCUAUACUCUCAAGUUGCUUUUGUAACUCAGUGACAUAGUUGCAAGUAUCACAUACGUUGCAGUGCUAUUGUCAUCACUGCGUUUACUACAGUAGCCACCUCUUCUUUAAUUGAGUCAUCAUCAGGUGUCUCUGGAAAGGGCUACUCAAGGACGUGACCAAUUUUCUCAUGCAUGAGAACAAUUCUCAAAUUGCAGUGUCAAUUAAGAAAAUAUAGUUUGGUUGUUGGCAUCUAGUAUGCCAUUCAAAACACAUGGUUACUCACGAUUCAAUAUAAAUGUAAAUGACAAAAAGGAAAAGAAUAAAAUAUAUAAAAUGCAUUAA